rnacentral:rRNA from 1 species
GGGAAUCUACCGUGCCCUGCGGAAUAGCUCCGGGAAACUGGAAUUAAUACCGCAUACGCCCUACGGGGGAAGGAUUUAUCGGGGUAUGAUGAGCCCGCGUUGGAUUAGCUAGUUGGUGGGGUAAAGGCCUACCAAGGCGACGAUCCAUAGCUGGUCUGAGAGGAUGAUCAGCCACAUUGGGACUGAGACACGGCCCAAACUCCUACGGGAGGCAGCAGUGGGGAAUAUUGGACAAUGGACGCAAGCCUGAUCCAGCCAUGCCGCGUGAGUGAUGAAGGCCUUAGGGUUGUAAAGCUCUUUCACCGGAGAAGAUAAUGACGGUAUCCGGAGAAGAAGCCCCGGCUAACUUCGUGCCAGCAGCCGCGGUAAUACGAAGGGGGCUAGCGUUGUUCGGAAUUACUGGGCGUAAAGCGCACGUAGGCGGAUAUUUAAGUCAGGGGUGAAAUCCCAGAGCUCAACUCUGGAACUGCCUUUGAUACUGGGUAUCUUGAGUAUGGAAGAGGUAAGUGGAAUUGCGAGU